rnacentral:rRNA from 1 species
GUGGGGAAUAUUGGACAAUGGGCGAAAGCCUGAUCCAGCCAUGCCGCGUGUGUGAAGAAGGUCUUCGGAUUGUAAAGCACUUUAAGUUGGGAGGAAGGGCAGUAAGUUAAUACCUUGCUGUUUUGACGUUACCGACAGAAUAAGCACCGGCUAACUUCGUGCCAGUAGCCGCGGUAAUACGAAGGGUGCAAGCGUUAAUCGGAAUUACUGGGCGUAAAGCGCGCGUAGGUGGGUUUGUAAGUUGGAGGUGAAAUCCCCGGGCUCAACCUGGGAACUGCCUCCAAAACUACUGAGCUAGAGGACGGUAGAGGGUAGUGGAAUUUCCUGUGUAGCGGUGAAAUGCGUAGAUAUAGGAAGGAACACCAGUGGCGAAGGCGACUACCUGGACUGAUACUGACACUGAGGUGCGAAAGCGUGGGGAGCAAACAGGAUUAGAUACCCGAGUAGUCC